rnacentral:rRNA from 1 species
UACGAAGGGGGCUAGCGUUGCUCGGAAUCACUGGGCUUAAAGGGCGCGUAGGCGGGCUGGCCAGUCUGUGGUGAAAUCCCCCGGCUUAACCGGGGAACUGCCGUGGAUACUGCCAGUCUCGAGGAGGGUAGGGGCAUCUGGAACAGCCGGUGGAGCGGUGAAAUGCGUUGAUAUCGGCUGGAACUCCGGUGGCGAAGGCGAGAUGCUGGACCCUUUCUGACGCUGAGGCGCGAAAGCCAGGGGAGCGAACGGG